GAUGAACGCUGGCGGCGUGCCUAAUACAUGCAAGUCGAGCGAACAGACGAGGAGCUUGCUCCUUCGACGUUAGCGGCGGACGGGUGAGUAACACGUAGGUAACCUACCUAUAAGGCUGGGAUAACUUCGGGAAACCGGAGCUAAUACCGGAUAAUAUUUCGAACCGCAUGGUUCGAUAGUGAAAGAUGGCUUUGCUAUCACUUAUAGAUGGACCUGCGCCGUAUUAGCUAGUUGGUAAGGUAACGGCUUACCAAGGCAACGAUACGUAGCCGACCUGAGAGGGUGAUCGGCCACACUGGAACUGAGACACGGUCCAGACUCCUACGGGAGGCAGCAGUAGGGAAUCUUCCGCAAUGGGCGAAAGCCUGACGGAGCAACGCCGCGUGAGUGAUGAAGGUCUUCGGAUCGUAAAACUCUGUUAUUAGGGAAGAACAAACGUGUAAGUAACUGUGCACGUCUUGACGGUACCUAAUCAGAAAGCCACGGCUAACUACGUG
rnacentral:rRNA from 1 species